UACGUAGGGUGCGAGCGUUAAUCGGAAUUACUGGGCGUAAAGCGUGCGCAGGCGGUUUUGUAAGUCUGUCGUGAAAUCCCCGGGCUUAACCUGGGAAUGGCGAUGGAGACUGCAAGGCUAGAGUUUGGCAGAGGGGGGUAGAAUUCCACGUGUAGCAGUGAAAUGCGUAGAGAUGUGGAGGAACACCGAUGGCGAAGGCAGCCCCCUGGGCCAACACUGACGCUCAGGCACGAAAGCGUGGGGAGCAAACAGG
rnacentral:rRNA from 1 species